rnacentral:rRNA from 1 species
UGAGGAAUAUUGGUCAAUGGACGCAAGUCUGAACCAGCCAAGUAGCGUGCAGGAUGACUGCCCUAUGGGUUGUAAACUGCUUUUAUCUGGGGAUAAAGUGGGGAACGUGUUCCCUUUUGCAGGUACCAUAUGCAUAAGGACCGGCUAAUUCCGUGCCCGCAGCCUCGGUAAUACGGAAGGUUCGGGCGUUAUCCGGAUUUAUUGGGUUUAAAGGGAGCGUAGGCCGUUUGGUAAGCGUGUUGUGAAAUGUAGGAGCUCAACUUCUAGAUUGCAGCGCGAACUGUCAGACUUGAGUGCGCACAACGUAGGCGGAAUUCAUGGUGUAGCGGUGAAAUGCUUAGAUAUCAUGAAGAACUCCGAUUGCGAAGGCAGCUUACGGGAGCGCAACUGACGCUGAAGCUCGAAGGUGCGGGUAUCGAACAGG